UGAGAAAUGCGACCGAUAAUAUAAUACCAAUAGCUAUCAUUAAUAUAUUAUGCGGUUAAAAGGUGCGUCGUCCUGGCACCCGUAAUUGAUCAAAUUUCUUCCUAAACAAUUUCAUUUUUUAGUAUCCGAUUUUGUCGGAUUUCAAACGGCUCCUGUCUAUUGUUUAUUUAUUUUCAAACCGCUACCGUAGAAAAAAAAAUUUAACUCAAUUUCAAAGUUAUUUCAGUAUACCUAAUUUUUUUCAAAAAAACAAGAGUUCAUUAGGAACAUUAUUGACAAAUUUCCAUCGAGUGAAAUAACACUGGAAGUUUGGACCAAACAUUAAAAAAUGUACAAUGCAUAAGAAAAAACAUAUAUUGAGUGAUAUUUUGAAACUUAAAAUUACAAAUUAUGAUGAAGCUACAGCUACAGAGUAAUGACGACGGUCGUCGGUUAACGAUGCAAGCCGCAAGAAGUAGAACACCAUCACCGUUAGGAGUAUAUUGAAUAUAUAACUUUAUACUCAUAACUUCAUAGAUAUUUUAAUUUGAAAGAGUUUUAUGAGGGAGUACCUGGUACCUAAUACUUAUGUCAUCUACCUAUGUCGUCAAUCAUAAUAAAAUGACAUCACAGAUCAUAACCGCUGUUCGAGUUGUCUUUGAGUAAAUUGUCUUAUUAUCAAACUAAUAUUAAAAACAUUAUCUGUG